UAUUAAAAAUUUCAUCUAUUUGUACUAUUAAAAACUAGCGUAGCUAAUGGAAUAGACAGACAAUGGCACAUGACAUGCUCAUAUUGACAUAUAAAUGCCAAUUUUUAACGGUAAAAAUGGAUGAAAUUUUUAACA
rfam:Gossypium arboreum cultivar AKA8401 contig_4303_5, whole genome shotgun sequence.